CAGCAAAGAGGAGCCUCUCAGAGUAGGUCC
rnacentral:piRNA from 1 species